UACGGAGGGGGCUAGCGUUGUUCGGAAUUACUGGGCGUAAAGCGCGCGUAGGCGGCUUUGUAAGUUAGAGGUGAAAGCCCGGAGCUCAACUCCGGAACUGCCAUUGAAACUGUUUAGCUUGAGGAUGAGAGAGGUGAGUGGAAUUCCCAGUGUAGAGGUGAAAUUCGUAGAUAUUGGGAAGAACACCGGUGGCGAAGGCGGCUCACUGGCUCAUUACUGACGCUCAGGCGCGAUAGCGUGGGGAUCAAACAGG
rnacentral:rRNA from 1 species